CCCAGAGAAGCGGGGAGGCUGGAGGAGAAACGGGCUGGAACAAGGAGGGCUUCUCGCUGCCCUUUUAAACCGGUUUUGUAGUGUACCCAUCUGGGUAAAAAAAAAAUAAAUGGGGAUUUAUACGAACAAACUCAGAAUAAAUCCAUUUACUCGAACAUUACUGUGCCUGCCUUUUAAAUAUCAAACAAAAUGCAUUUUUCCAGAUUUUUUUUCAGAGCUUUAGGUUCUUGGCAAGAGAGAUGUGGAGACCGUUGGUCUGGAUCUUCUCCCAUGACCCAAGAGAUCAAGUUCUCCUUAAAGUGGAACUAUCCUCAGUAUAAAUUCGCCUCACCUAGUUUUUUUAAUAGAUGUCUUUACUUUUAAAAGUUUAUGUCUAGCAUUUGUUCUCCUAUGAUUAGAAAAGUCAUAAACGUACUAACUUUAAAAAGGUCAGUAAAAUUUAAAAUAGCCCACUGCUGAAUGGACAGGAAGCAAUAGAGAGAUACUAGUCUCCAAAGAUUAAAUAGGAAUUCAUUCAAAAUUUCUAGUUUCUAAUACCACGACAAAUGUCUUUGGCAUAUCCCCUGGGCGCUCCUAGAAGAUAGUGGCAGUAUUUUUGAAAGUAGACCAGAAGCAAAGGUCUAAGGUGUAGACAGCAUCCCGUGGUCAGGGUCACCUGCUUUUUGGCAUGCAGAGAUGUUUUCAUUAACUACAUCCACUGUGGCUGCCAUUUUAUUAUUAGCUAACUUCCCAACGACAAUUCACAGUAUCUUAACUUUCCAAGUAGACCCUGAAAGUGUAGUGUAUUGUUAGAAGCAUAAAUUAAUUGGCAUAAACACUUGUUUAUUGAAUGUUGGUUUUGAAAAUUUUUGGUGUAAAUAAGUCACUGUGAAAUAGAAAUACUGUAUCUUCCCUUUGGCUGGGAAAAUUAGGACUUUGUUGCUGAGAAUACUUUUCCUAUUAUAUGGAUCGCAUUAUGGUUAGUCCUUGAUUUACAAUAAUUCAUUUAGUGACCGUUUGAAGUUACAACAGAUUAAAGAAAGAUUAAACAUGGUUAGCAUACUGUACCAAUACAGCCUUUAAAAUACCCAUAUGGCAUUAAAUUUUACUAAUACCAAUAAAUCAUUUAAAAAUAUUUCCUCUUUGAAAAAGACUUAAAAAUACAAUUUUAUUUUUUAAGCUUAUUUAUACCUUUGAAUUAAUUUUGACUCCUAGUGACUGCCUGGACAUGACUGCAGUUUUCUUAACCAGAUUUUUUCAGAAGUGGUUCACCAUUGCCUCCUUCCUAGGGCCAUGAGGAAUGGCUGUCCCAAAGUCACCCAGCUGGCUUUGUGGCUAAAGUACGACUGGAACUCAGAUGCUCCUGAUUUCUAUCCUUAACCACUACACCACUAAAACGUAACCACUACAUCUGGUUUCUAACUUUAACAACUACACCAAACACUACACUACUCCUUUAAAGUGUAACAAAGUGUUACACUUCUUUUAAAAAAUACAGAAAGUACUGAGAUACUGUUAAAGUAGCAGUUUUCUUACCCUUACAACUUGAUCUUUUUGUCACAGUGGGCUGCUUUGUUUUCUUCUGUUUUCCUAAAUCUUGGUAUUGUUUAACUUCCUCUCAUAUAUAGACUUUCAUCAGCAGAAUCUGACGUGCAGGUGAAGCCUUGAGGAAAUGACCUCCAGUCCCUGUAGUAAAUUUGUUCAGGCUACCUAUUAAAAUGAAGUCUAUUGGAAGUCUGCAGCUCAGUGAGGCUAGCUUGUUACUCUAGUCACACAACAAGCCGGUGGCUUGACUUUUAAUUUGCAUAAUGAAGCCUCCUUCCAAGGAUGUGCAAUCUCAGGAGAGGAGGAGGAAAGCCAUGCUUGAACUUUCUCAAAACUGAGAUUGCAGGUUCUGGGAGCAAGAGGCAUUUAGAAGAGGAGUGUGAAGAAGGGGGCGCAGCAGACACAAAGAGACAACGCUGUAUGACCUGCAGGUGCUCAUCCUCUCAGGCACAUUCCCUCAGCAGUGGAAGAGCAGCUUCUCCAGGCUCUUUCCUGAGCAGCGGUGGAUGCUUGGAUAAUGACUUGGAUGACGCCAUCCUGGCUCGUUCUGAUGAGGACAUGCCAGAUUCUCCCACCGGACUCUCUCGUGAAGCUGAGGAUGAGCUCAUAGCAGAGGAUCUGGAACCCCCCCCAUGUUUUGUAGCAGUUGAAGUAAAUAGCUGUGAGGAUGUGAAGAGGGGUAGCCUUUUAGCUUGUCCUGAACCUGCACAGCCUCUGAGGGCUCUGGAUGAGGUUGAAAGCACAAAACCUCUUCCUCAGACCGCUUCUUCAGCCAGCUCAAGUGAGGGGGCUGUUUUCCCGAAUGAUUUGGAGAAAUAUUUGAAUAAGAGCUCUCAAAAUCGAGCAGAGUUUGAUGCAAAUUACAAUGGUCUUAGGAUUCCAGAAGCUGAUUCAGACGUAACAGCUUCUUUGAAUCUGGAGAGAGGUCUGUUUGGAAAAAUAGAUAAUGAAGCAAUAAAGACAGUGACAAGUGUUUUGCCAAUAGGAAGCCAACUAGUGGCUGAACAUGAAUCAUUUGGUGCGGUGGGUGGACGGUCCUCAGAGAGACAGACUUCCCUAAGUCACAAGCAGCUCAGAGGCGAGAAUACAAGCAACCCACUGCCUGAAAAAGAAUUAGAUACUGUUGACUUGCAUGCAGUGUCCACUCAUGUCAAUGGCCAAAGAAACGAUUGUGUGGAAGUUCCUGAUGUUAAAAUAACCAAUAGGUCAGAAUACCUCCCCCUUCCCCUUCUUCCAAUGAUAUGCUGUUAGGCAUGCUUUCUCAAUUCCCACAGAGUUUGGAAUGUAUUUGUUUUUCCCUGCUUUGUACAAGUUAUGGAUUGAGUUGAUUACUCUUCAGAAUCUGGAAAUGCAUUUGAGGGCCUUGUAUGUGUGACGUAUGAUGGGGUUGUGUUAUCCCUUUGCUUCCCACUAGAUGGUAGUGAGCACUAAAACUUUUACUAUGGAAGAAAGAUUCUAUGUCCAGGUUGAUGAUUUGGAAGCCGUUAACAUGUUUUGGUUUUCUUUUACAUUUUAUUUUCCUUAUUUUCCUCUCCCCUCCCCUACUCCCCCAAAUCCCAGUUUUUCUUUUCCAUGGAUAUAAGAAUUUUUCCUGUUUGAAAUACGACACAAGAUUUUUUUAACAGUUGACAGUCUUCAUCCUGCAGAGGGCUAAAAGCUUGUACUUCCUCAAAACCAAUAUUAAGCUAUUCAAGAUAACUUUCAUAUGUCUGAUGCUAGGCAGUGGUAGCUACUCAUAGCGCUGAUUGUUAUUUUUUACAAAUUGUGGAUGGUAUGAAAGCAUGCCUGGUUGGCCAUUGAUGUUGCUGUAGAUAUCUGCUUAGGUCAGGGGCCAGGCUGUUCUCUGUCACCAGAAAUGGAAGCGAAUAGAAGGAGGUAGCUCCAUCUCCCCUAGCUGGAAAGCAGGGCUUAGAACCUGGGUGUGUACCCUUUGGCGUGCCUGAGCUGCAUUGAAUGAAGAGGAAUUCUCUUGAGCUGUGUAUAAAAUAUAUAGUUAAUGUAUAUUAAUCACAUAACGAUGAUAAAAGUUUACGAUCUUGUGGAGGCGUAUUACUAGCUGUCCAGGGCCUCAUGUGGGCCAGGGGUCGGACACACCUGGCUUAAAGUGUCUUCCUGUGUCCUCUGAGAAGAAUUAGACGUAGUAGACCGCUACAUAUUCCUUGGCCAAUGGAUCUCAACGGAAGGUGAUACAAUAAAGGAAAUUGAACGGCGUGUUAAAUGUGAUUGGCAGGCAUUCGGCUAGCUAAGCGUAGACCAACCUCCCCCUAUACCUGUAGAGAAAAGUUUUCGAUCAGUGUGUGCUACCCGCUCUAACAUACGUCGGUGAAACAUGGACACUAACCUCACAAUCGAUACAAAAGCUACGAGUGGCGCAAAGAGCCAUAGCAAGAAGCAUGCUCGGCAUCACAAAACAAGAUAGAAAGACACACAUGGAUUAGAGAACAAACGAAAGUAUAAGAUGCCCCCAAGGGAGAAAAAGAAUGGAAAUGGAAAUGGGCUGCUCACAUAGCAAGAAGAACCAAGAGGGCAGGUGGACCAAGGCAGUCACAGAAUGGAUCCCACUUGAUUAAAAGUGUCCGUGAAAGAGACCUAAAACGAGAUGGAUUGACAAGAUCAGCAAGUAUUGCGGGCCCAACUGGCGAAAGAAAGCUUAGGACCGUCUCGAUUGGAAACAUGCAGGCCUUCAUCCUGCAGUGGAUGGACAAUGGCUAAAAUGAUGAUGGUGAAUGAAAUGGCAUGCCAUGUUACCUAUUUUUAACUAACUGAAUCAUCAGAAUCUCAUGAUGUAUUUUUAUCACUUAUAUGUUGCUGAAGUCGGGAUAAAUUACUCAGCAUUCUACAAUCAAGGCAAUUAUCCAUUCAAAAGAUGAAUUAAGAAUAGUUUGACAAGAUUUGUUCUUGAAAAUCCAUGUUGACUUCCAGUAAUUAACAAAGCAUUUGGCGAGACAAAUACAGGAAGUCCUCAACUUAUAACCACAAUUGGGACUGGAAUCACAGUUGUUUAGCGAAGGGGUGGUUAAGCAAGACACCCACGAGACCACUUUUCUCAAUGACUGCAAUCCCGGUUCUCCCUCUUACGGUUCUUAAGUAAACAUACUGAUUGUUCAGUAGAUGGAGCUGAAACGAGGUGCCUGCCAGAGAAAGGGAACUCCUGGGCUGGGCUGGAGAGAGAAAGGUCGGAUCCCAAAGAUCCCAGCCUUCUUUUGAGGUGGAAGGGAAGUCUUUUGGCAGCCGGCCACCUUCCCUGUUGGUUCUCCCCCACUGACCUUUUGGGGAAGCUGGCAGAAAAAGGGACUUAUUUCGUAAAAAAAAUACAGUGUACUUAGACUGUUUUAAAGAUUUUUUUAUUUCUUUAUUACUGUUAGUUCAUUUUCAUUUUUUUGUACCACAUCCUGUGUCCUUUUGGAAUUUGGCAGCAUUUUUUUAAAAAAACUAUUUCAGUCAGUAUCCGGGAAUGCCGUUCCUGUGAUCCUGGAGUUUUAAAUUCAAGUAAAGAUACAUUUCCCUGACCAUGUUUCUGCCAAGCCUGAGCUUUAAUCCUGAUGCUUCACAAUUUCAUGGUGGAACACAGAAUUUGUGUGGGAGAAGCCUGAACAAAGCAUUGCUACAGCUUUUCUUUAUUACCUGUUAACAUUUUCCUUUCUUCAUUGAGCAGGUGAUAUACUGGCAUUUUUCCUUUCCCCAUUUUAUAGUUUGUUGACAAGUUACACUGGGAGCAAAUGUUAAAAUUGAACUCUUGACUGAAAAUGGAGCAGACAUUCACCCCAUUGUCUGUUAUUUAGAAAGAUGUUUAAUCUUGUGAGACAGUUCAUUUAUGAAAACGAAUUUUAAAAAUUUGGAAGUAAAACCUUUUUACUUUGGGUUAUCUGAAAGUAGCAGGAACAACCUCUGUGCAAUUAUGUCUUGCUUUAAUUUUCAAAACUUUGCUAGUAAUUUGAUCUUUCCUAGAAGAUCAUUUGUGGUACAACUUGCAUAUAGUUAUUUUUUUCCCCUCCUCUUCUAGUCCUGUAAAGCCUAAACGGAUAUUAAUUCAAGAAGCAGACCUUGAGUCAAGAAAAGCGAGAUACGUCAAUGCCGUGCUUAGCCAUGCUAGCUCUGUCCCGUCUCUCAUCGACCCAGUCCAUGAGUUGCACAUCCUGGUUGACACAGUCGC